GUCUCGGUAGCUCAGUGGUAGAGCGUGGGAUUGCAGUGUCUACGAUCCUAUGGAUCUAGCAAACAAGCAAUCAUCCUAAGGUCAGGCGUUCGAACCGCCUUCGGGACU